rnacentral:rRNA from 1 species
CUUACCUGGUCUUGACAUCCACGGAAGUUUUCAGAGAUGAGAAUGUGCCUUCGGGAACCGUGAGACAGGUGCUGCAUGGCUGUCGUCAGCUCGUGUUGUGAAAUGUUGGGUUAAGUCCCGCAACGAGCGCAACCCUUAUCCUUUGUUGCCAGCGGUCCGGCCGGGAACUCAAAGGAGACUGCCAGUGAUAAACUGGAGGAAGGUGGGGAUGACGUCAAGUCAUCAUGGCCCUUACGACCAGGGCUACACACGUGCUACAAUGGCGCAUACAAAGAGAAGCGACCUCGCGAGAGCAAGCGGACCUCAUAAAGUGCGUCGUAGUCCGGAUUGGAGUCUGCAACUCGACUCCAUGAAGUCGGAAUCGCUAGUAAUCGUGGAUCAGAAUGCCACGGUGAAUACGUUCCCGGGCCUUGUACACACCGCCCGUCACACCAUGGGAGUGGGUUGCAAAAGAAGUAGGUAGCUUAACCUUCGGGAGGGCGCUUACCACUUUGUGAUUCAUGACUGGGGUGAAGUCGUAACAAGGUAACCGUAGGGGAACCUGCGGUUGGAUCAC